AAUGUUGAGCUCAUAGGACUAGUUAUUACAAUCCCUUAUAUCAGCACUUGGAAUUGAGUGGGGGGGGGGGGGGGGUAAAACGUCACUGGGGUCUUCAGGUGGGCACCCCCCUUCACUGGUGUUUCAUUGAUAGGCCCACGACACCUCCAGGGGGCUCAACGGCGACACCUGGCGUCCCAGGUGUGCCCCCCUCUGCUUUUACCCCUAGGUGGUCAUUUUGCAGCCCAGGUGGAGUCCUUUCUCUUGAUCCAGAGCCAUCUGCUGCUUCGUUCGGCAGCCUCUGAUAUAGAUUUGAUGGCUCGUCGGAAGGCCUGUCCUCGUACUCCCAAUCUCUUCAGAAGCUUGGUUGUGGAUGUUGCAACGAAGCCUCUGCACCCAACCUCCACCGGAAGCACCUGGGCCCUCCAGCCGCGCUUCUCUGCCUCGGCUGCUAUGUCCGCAUACUUCAGUCGUUUGCGCUCAUAUGCUUCACCAACUGCUGCCUCCCACGGUACAGUUAAUUCAAUGAUGAACGCAACCUUCUGGGUGGUUGACCACAAGACCAGGUCCGGCCUGAGGCUAGUUGGAAGGAUCUCAGGCGGAAAGAUGAGUUUUUGGUCUAGGUCAACCUGCAUCCUCCAGUCCCGGGCAGAGUCUAGGAGGGUUGCCUCCACUCUUGCAGAUGGUUUUGCCGGUGGUUGUCCUGCUCUUACAAAUGGGGUGGUGUUUGGGCGUCUAGGCAUUGGUGGAGGGAGGGCAUUGAUGGUUGUUCUCCUUCCUUCCAGAGUGAUCGCCAGUUGUCUUAGGACCUGGUUGUGUCUCCAGGUGUAGCGGCCUUGGGACAGACUGGUUUUACAGCCGGUGAGGAUGUGACUCAGUGUUGCAGGUGUUUGACAGAGUGCACAAGAAGGAUCUUCUCCAAACCAUUGGUUUAGGUUUUUGGGUGUGGGAAGAACAUCAUAGGUGGCUCUGAUGAUGAAGCUGAUUUGGCUUCCUUCCAUUUCCCAAAGAUCCUUCCAUGUGAGCUUACGAUGCUCCAGGUUUUCCCAGCUGGUCCACUGUCCCUGUUUGGACUGUGCUACUGCUGUCGCGCAUCUGUUUGCCUCCUCUUGUUGCCGAACCUGAGCAACCACCAGCUUUCUCCUCUGGGUUGAUGUUGCUUUGUGCCAUGUGGGUCGACUUGUUCCGAGUCCAAACCCGCCUCUUCCAUGCUGCACCUGUCCCACAAUGUCUCCAUGCCUGAGAGCAGAUUUGGCUUGCUGUACCGCCUCAGAUGGGUUCCAUUUCCUCCCAGUUGCCAGUCUGGGAGCAGCUGCACGGAUCACCUCAUCUUGCGACUCAGUCAGGGUCAUGUUCAGCCUCACCUUGGUGCACUUAAACUCCUCUGUGAGGCUAGAGAUGGGCAGUUCCAGGGCACCAUGUCCAUACAAGCCGAUGUUGCUGAGGCAACGCGGGAGGCCAAGCCACUUCUUGAUGUAUGAGCUCACUGUUCUUUCCAUCUUCUCGACUUUGGUCAUGGGGAUCUCAUAGACUGUUAGAGGCCACAUCAGGCGGGGGAGCAAUCCAAACUGCAGGCACCACAGUUUCAACUUGCCAGGAAGCAAGGUCUUGUCUAUGCUGACGAGGCCUUUGAUGGUUUCUUCCCUCAGCUGAUCACUCUGGUCCGAGUCUUUGAGAUGUGCGUUGUAUAGUCGCCCUAGGCUCUUGACUGGCAGUUCAGACACCAAUGGGAUGGGUGUGUCCUUGAUGUGGAACCUCUGGUCUGUGAGUCUCCCCCUGACGAUGGAUAUGCUCCUGGAUUUGCUUGGUUUGAACUUCAUCCGUGCCCAUGUGAUGUUGGCAUGAAGCUUUCCUAGCAGAUGUUUGGUGCAUGCAACGGUUGAGGUCAGGGUGGUCAUGUCAUCCAUGUAAGCGCGAAUGGGAGGGAGACGCUGGCCACACUUCAGACGUUCUCCACCCACAACCCAUUUGGAAGCUCGAAUUAUCACUUCCAUUGCCAUGGUGAAGGCUAGUGGGGAGAUAGUGCAUCCAGCCAUUAUUCCCACUUCCAAAGAUUGCCAUGAUGUUGUAUAUUCUGUUGUUUUGACACAGAAUUGCAGAUCUUGGAAGUAGUUUCUCACCAGGUUUGUGAUGGUACUUGGGAUGUGGAAGAAGUUGAAAGCUGUCCAGAUCAGAGAAUGAGGGACGGAUCCAAAGGCGUUGGCUAGGUCCAGAAAUAGGACGUGCAGGUCCCUUCCUUCCCUUUUGGCAGAUUGGAUUUGGUGCCAUAUCAUGCUUGAAUGUUCCAAGCAUCCUGAAAACCCAGGUAUUCCAGCUUUCUGCACAGAUGUAUCAAUCAGGUUGUUUUGCUUCAGGUAUGUUGUCAUCCUUUUUGCAACGAUGCUAAAAAAGACCUUCCCUUCCACGUUCAACAGGUUGAUUUGCCGGAAUUGAUCGAUGUUGGAGGCAUCCUUCUCCUUGGGGAUUACCACUCCUCCAGCUCUACGCCAUGCUUUUGGAAUGGUUUGCUUCGUCCACAUCACCUUCAUUUGCCUCCACAGGAAGCGUAAGAUGUUUGGGGAGUUUUUAUACAGCCGAUAUGGAACUCCAUUUGGUCCUGGAGCUGAAGCUGCCCUUGCCUUCCUCACUGCUUCCUCGACCUCGCUCCACUUUGGAGGACUGUCAUCCAGCUGGUGUUCUGGUAGAGGAAUUGGUGGCAUGUCUGAUGGUAUCUCCCUUUGUUCAAAUCUUUGGCUGUCUGUGUGAGUGGUUUUCAGGUGAUCUUCCAACUCCCUCUUUGGCACCUUAAGUGACCCGCUUUUUUCCUUAGUGAAGAGUCCUUUUACAAAUCUGAAGGGGUCCUUGUAGAAGGAUGUUCUCGCCCUUUCCUUCCUCUUGCGUCGAGUCCUGAGGUUUUCAGCUCUCCGCAAUCUUCCCAGGCGUCCCUUUAGGUCUGUUUGCAGGAGGUCAAUGCCCACUCUUUCCUCCAUUGAGGCUCUCUUCCAUUGUUUCCUCAAUUCCCUUCUCUCUUUAACCAGGCACUCGAUUUCUUUCUGCCUUCUGGACUUGGGAGGGGUUGUUGGUGGCAUAUUCUUCUUCCCUGUCUCUUUUGCUCCAAAUCUUUCUGCUCCAUAUGAGUAGAUCAGGUCUCCCAUUUUCUCCAGUUUCUUCUCCACUGUUCCUUUGACUCCGUCCAAGAUCUUGAUCAGGUCUGCAUCAAUUGUAGCCCACUCUUUCUUGCUGCUGGACUUUGGCCACUUCACAUGAGGUCUGUGGCCUUGCAUGUUCUUCUCCAAAGCAGGUUGCAAGUGGCUGGGUUCCAAGUUCUCUGAUGUUGUGCUUGAAUUAUUCUCAGCCUCUGGGGUACUGAUGCUCAGUGGACUGUGGGUUACAUCCUGCCGCUGAGCUUCACUCGCCUGACUUGACCUUUCUCUCAGAAGAUAUUGGUCAAUGCGAGGUCCUGGCCUCGUUUUCUUCACGCACUUCAUCCGGCCUUGGUGUAUUUUUAGGCCUCUGAUGGAGGUUACUUUGGACCAGCCACAGCUACAUACUUGGCGCUCUUGUCCUUCAGCCGAUGUUGUUGCUUGUUCUGUGCCGAUUACUUGGUUCGUUGUCGUGUUCAUUCCAGGGUCAGUUACCGGGUUGUCAGCCGAUGAGUCAUCUUCCGCCCCCGCUCUCGCAGACUCUAGGGGUGUUUUCCUCUUUAAACUUUUCAUAGCAAUGGGGGUGGCCUUUGUCCACUUGCCAAGCGACGGAGCCUGCCAUCACGGAUAGCUAGUCCGUGACAGCCCCGUUGGGGUCUUUCCCUCCUGUCAGCUGUCUUUCCACGCCGUCACAUGGUCUUUCCCUAGUUGUCAGCUGCCCUUUCACAGCAGUCACUGGAUUUCUCCAGCUUAUCAGUUGAGCUCAUAGGACUAGUUAUUACAAUCCCUUAUAUCAGCACUUGGAAUUGAGUGGGGGGGGGGGGGGUAAAAGCUUCACUGGGGUCUUCAGGUGGGCACCCCCCUUCACUGGUGUUUCAUUGAUAGGCCCACGACACCUCCAGGGGGCUCAACGGCGACACCUGGCGUCCCAGGUGUGCCCCCCUCUGCUUUUACCCCUAGGUGGUCAUUUUGCAGCCCAGGUGGAGUCCUUUCUCUUGAUCCAGAGCCAUCUGCUGCUUCGUUCGGCAGCCUCUGAUAUUGAUUUGAUGGCUCGUCGGAAGGCCUGUCCUCGUACUCCCAAUCUCUUCAGAAGCUUGGUUGUGGAUGUUGCAACGAAGCCUCUGCACCCAACCUCCACCGGAAGCACCUGGGCCCUCCAGCCGCGCUUCUCUGCCUCGGCUGCUAUGUCCGCAUACUUCAGUCGUUUGCGCUCAUAUGCUUCACCAACUGCUGCCUCCCACGGUACAGUUAAUUCAAUGAUGAACGCAACCUUCUGGGUGGUUGACCACAAGACCAGGUCCGGCCUGAGGCUAGUUGGAAGGAUCUCAGGCGGAAAGAUGAGUUUUUGGUCUAGGUCAACCUGCAUCCUCCAGUCCCGGGCAGAGUCUAGGAGGGUUGCCUCCACUCUUGCAGAUGGUUUUGCCGGUGGUUGUCCUGCUCUUACAAAUGGGGUGGUGUUUGGGCGUCUAGGCAUUGGUGGAGGGAGGGCAUUGAUGGUUGUUCUCCUUCCUUCCAGAGUGAUCGCCAGUUGUCUUAGGACCUGGUUGUGUCUCCAGGUGUAGCGGCCUUGGGACAGACUGGUUUUACAGCCGGUGAGGAUGUGACUCAGUGUUGCAGGUGUUUGACAGAGUGCACAAGAAGGAUCUUCUCCAAACCAUUGGUUUAGGUUUUUGGGUGUGGGAAGAACAUCAUAGGUGGCUCUGAUGAUGAAGCUGAUUUGGCUUCCUUCCAUUUCCCAAAGAUCCUUCCAUGUGAGCUUACGAUGCUCCAGGUUUUCCCAGCUGGUCCACUGUCCCUGUUUGGACUGUGCUACUGCUGUCGCGCAUCUGUUUGCCUCCUCUUGUUGCCGAACCUGAGCAACCACCAGCUUUCUCCUCUGGGUUGAUGUUGCUUUGUGCCAUGUGGGUCGACUUGUUCCGAGUCCAAACCCGCCUCUUCCAUGCUGCACCUGUCCCACAAUGUCUCCAUGCCUGAGAGCAGAUUUGGCUUGCUGUACCGCCUCAGAUGGGUUCCAUUUCCUCCCAGUUGCCAGUCUGGGAGCAGCUGCACGGAUCACCUCAUCUUGCGACUCAGUCAGGGUCAUGUUCAGCCUCACCUUGGUGCACUUAAACUCCUCUGUGAGGCUAGAGAUGGGCAGUUCCAGGGCACCAUGUCCAUACAAGCCGAUGUUGCUGAGGCAACGCGGGAGGCCAAGCCACUUCUUGAUGUAUGAGCUCACUGUUCUUUCCAUCUUCUCGACUUUGGUCAUGGGGAUCUCAUAGACUGUUAGAGGCCACAUCAGGCGGGGGAGCAAUCCAAACUGCAGGCACCACAGUUUCAACUUGCCAGGAAGCAAGGUCUUGUCUAUGCUGACGAGGCCUUUGAUGGUUUCUUCCCUCAGCUGAUCACUCUGGUCCGAGUCUUUGAGAUGUGCGUUGUAUAGUCGCCCUAGGCUCUUGACUGGCAGUUCAGACACCAAUGGGAUGGGUGUGUCCUUGAUGUGGAACCUCUGGUCUGUGAGUCUCCCCCUGACGAUGGAUAUGCUCCUGGAUUUGCUUGGUUUGAACUUCAUCCGUGCCCAUGUGAUGUUGGCAUGAAGCUUUCCUAGCAGAUGUUUGGUGCAUGCAACGGUUGAGGUCAGGGUGGUCAUGUCAUCCAUGUAAGCGCGAAUGGGAGGGAGACGCUGGCCACACUUCAGACGUUCUCCACCCACAACCCAUUUGGAAGCUCGAAUUAUCACUUCCAUUGCCAUGGUGAAGGCUAGUGGGGAGAUAGUGCAUCCAGCCAUUAUUCCCACUUCCAAAGAUUGCCAUGAUGUUGUAUAUUCUGUUGUUUUGACACAGAAUUGCAGAUCUUGGAAGUAGUUUCUCACCAGGUUUGUGAUGGUACUUGGGAUGUGGAAGAAGUUGAAAGCUGUCCAGAUCAGAGAAUGAGGGACGGAUCCAAAGGCGUUGGCUAGGUCCAGAAAUAGGACGUGCAGGUCCCUUCCUUCCCUUUUGGCAGAUUGGAUUUGGUGCCAUAUCAUGCUUGUAUGUUCCAAGCAUCCUGAAAACCCAGGUAUUCCAGCUUUCUGCACAGAUGUAUCAAUCAGGUUGUUUUGCUUCAGGUAUGUUGUCAUCCUUUUUGCAACGAUGCUAAAAAAGACCUUCCCUUCCACGUUCAACAGGUUGAUUUGCCGGAAUUGAUCGAUGUUGGAGGCAUCCUUCUCCUUGGGGAUUACCACUCCUCCAGCUCUACGCCAUGCUUUUGGAAUGGUUUGCUUCGUCCACAUCACCUUCAUUUGCCUCCACAGGAAGCGUAAGAUGUUUGGGGAGUUUUUAUACAGCCGAUAUGGAACUCCAUUUGGUCCUGGAGCUGAAGCUGCCCUUGCCUUCCUCACUGCUUCCUCGACCUCGCUCCACUUUGGAGGACUGUCAUCCAGCUGGUGUUCUGGUAGAGGAAUUGGUGGCAUGUCUGAUGGUAUCUCCCUUUGUUCAAAUCUUUGGCUGUCUGUGUGAGUGGUUUUCAGGUGAUCUUCCAACUCCCUCUUUGGCACCUUAAGUGACCCGCUUUUUUCCUUAGUGAAGAGUCCUUUUACAAAUCUGAAGGGGUCCUUGUAGAAGGAUGUUCUCGCCCUUUCCUUCCUCUUGCGUCGAGUCCUGAGGUUUUCAGCUCUCCGCAAUCUUCCCAGGCGUCCCUUUAGGUCUGUUUGCAGGAGGUCAAUGCCCACUCUUUCCUCCAUUGAGGCUCUCUUCCAUUGUUUCCUCAAUUCCCUUCUCUCUUUAACCAGGCACUCGAUUUCUUUCUGCCUUCUGGACUUGGGAGGGGUUGUUGGUGGCAUAUUCUUCUUCCCUGUCUCUUUUGCUCCAAAUCUUUCUGCUCCAUAUGAGUAGAUCAGGUCUCCCAUUUUCUCCAGUUUCUUCUCCACUGUUCCUUUGACUCCGUCCAAGAUCUUGAUCAGGUCUGCAUCAAUUGUAGCCCACUCUUUCUUGCUGCUGGACUUUGGCCACUUCACAUGAGGUCUGUGGCCUUGCAUGUUCUUCUCCAAAGCAGGUUGCAAGUGGCUGGGUUCCAAGUUCUCUGAUGUUGUGCUUGAAUUAUUCUCAGCCUCUGGGGUACUGAUGCUCAGUGGACUGUGGGUUACAUCCUGCCGCUGAGCUUCACUCGCCUGACUUGACCUUUCUCUCAGAAGAUAUUGGUCAAUGCGAGGUCCUGGCCUCGUUUUCUUCACGCACUUCAUCCGGCCUUGGUGUAUUUUUAGGCCUCUGAUGGAGGUUACUUUGGACCAGCCACAGCUACAUACUUGGCGCUCUUGUCCUUCAGCCGAUGUUGUUGCUUGUUCUGUGCCGAUUACUUGGUUCGUUGUCGUGUUCAUUCCAGGGUCAGUUACCGGGUUGUCAGCCGAUGAGUCAUCUUCCGCCCCCGCUCUCGCAGACUCUAGGGGUGUUUUCCUCUUUAAACUUUUCAUAGCAAUGGGGGGUGGCCUUUGUCCACUUGCCAAGCGACGGAGCCUGCCAUCACGGAUAGCUAGUCCGUGACAGCCCCGUUGGGGUCUUUCCCUCCUGUCAGCUGUCUUUCCACGCCGUCACAUGGUCUUUCCCUAGUUGUCAGCUGCCCUUUCACAGCAGUCACUGGAUUUCUCCAGCUUAUCAGUUGAGCUCAUAGGACUAGUUAUUACAAUCCCUUAUAUCAGCACUUGGAAUUGAGUGGGGGGGGGGGGGGGUAAAAGCUUCACUGGGGUCUUCAGGUGGGCACCCCCCUUCACUGGUGUUUCAUUGAUAGGCCCACGACACCUCCAGGGGGCUCAACGGCGACACCUGGCGUCCCAGGUGUGCCCCCUCUGCUUUUACCCCUAGGUGGUCAUUUUGCAGCCCAGGUGGAGUCCUUUCUCUUGAUCCAGAGCCAUCUGCUGCUUCGUUCGGCAGCCUCUGAUAUAGAUUUGAUGGCUCGUCGGAAGGCCUGUCCUCGUACUCCCAAUCUCUUCAGAAGCUUGGUUGUGGAUGUUGCAACGAAGCCUCUGCACCCAACCUCCACCGGAAGCACCUGGGCCCUCCAGCCGCGCUUCUCUGCCUCGGCUGCUAUGUCCGCAUACUUCAGUCGUUUGCGCUCAUAUGCUUCACCAACUGCUGCCUCCCACGGUACAGUUAAUUCAAUGAUGAACGCAACCUUCUGGGUGGUUGACCACAAGACCAGGUCCGGCCUGAGGCUAGUUGGAAGGAUCUCAGGCGGAAAGAUGAGUUUUUGGUCUAGGUCAACCUGCAUCCUCCAGUCCCGGGCAGAGUCUAGGAGGGUUGCCUCCACUCUUGCAGAUGGUUUUGCCGGUGGUUGUCCUGCUCUUACAAAUGGGGUGGUGUUUGGGCGUCUAGGCAUUGGUGGAGGGAGGGCAUUGAUGGUUGUUCUCCUUCCUUCCAGAGUGAUCGCCAGUUGUCUUAGGACCUGGUUGUGUCUCCAGGUGUAGCGGCCUUGGGACAGACUGGUUUUACAGCCGGUGAGGAUGUGACUCAGUGUUGCAGGUGUUUGACAGAGUGCACAAGAAGGAUCUUCUCCAAACCAUUGGUUUAGGUUUUUGGGUGUGGGAAGAACAUCAUAGGUGGCUCUGAUGAUGAAGCUGAUUUGGCUUCCUUCCAUUUCCCAAAGAUCCUUCCAUGUGAGCUUACGAUGCUCCAGGUUUUCCCAGCUGGUCCACUGUCCCUGUUUGGACUGUGCUACUGCUGUCGCGCAUCUGUUUGCCUCCUCUUGUUGCCGAACCUGAGCAACCACCAGCUUUCUCCUCUGGGUUGAUGUUGCUUUGUGCCAUGUGGGUCGACUUGUUCCGAGUCCAAACCCGCCUCUUCCAUGCUGCACCUGUCCCACAAUGUCUCCAUGCCUGAGAGCAGAUUUGGCUUGCUGUACCGCCUCAGAUGGGUUCCAUUUCCUCCCAGUUGCCAGUCUGGGAGCAGCUGCACGGAUCACCUCAUCUUGCGACUCAGUCAGGGUCAUGUUCAGCCUCACCUUGGUGCACUUAAACUCCUCUGUGAGGCUAGAGAUGGGCAGUUCCAGGGCACCAUGUCCAUACAAGCCGAUGUUGCUGAGGCAACGCGGGAGGCCAAGCCACUUCUUGAUGUAUGAGCUCACUGUUCUUUCCAUCUUCUCGACUUUGGUCAUGGGGAUCUCAUAGACUGUUAGAGGCCACAUCAGGCGGGGGAGCAAUCCAAACUGCAGGCACCACAGUUUCAACUUGCCAGGAAGCAAGGUCUUGUCUAUGCUGACGAGGCCUUUGAUGGUUUCUUCCCUCAGCUGAUCACUCUGGUCCGAGUCUUUGAGAUGUGCGUUGUAUAGUCGCCCUAGGCUCUUGACUGGCAGUUCAGACACCAAUGGGAUGGGUGUGUCCUUGAUGUGGAACCUCUGGUCUGUGAGUCUCCCCCUGACGAUGGAUAUGCUCCUGGAUUUGCUUGGUUUGAACUUCAUCCGUGCCCAUGUGAUGUUGGCAUGAAGCUUUCCUAGCAGAUGUUUGGUGCAUGCAACGGUUGAGGUCAGGGUGGUCAUGUCAUCCAUGUAAGCGCGAAUGGGAGGGAGACGCUGGCCACACUUCAGACGUUCUCCACCCACAACCCAUUUGGAAGCUCGAAUUAUCACUUCCAUUGCCAUGGUGAAGGCUAGUGGGGAGAUAGUGCAUCCAGCCAUUAUUCCCACUUCCAAAGAUUGCCAUGAUGUUGUAUAUUCUGUUGUUUUGACACAGAAUUGCAGAUCUUGGAAGUAGUUUCUCACCAGGUUUGUGAUGGUACUUGGGAUGUGGAAGAAGUUGAAAGCUGUCCAGAUCAGAGAAUGAGGGACGGAUCCAAAGGCGUUGGCUAGGUCCAGAAAUAGGACGUGCAGGUCCCUUCCUUCCCUUUUGGCAGAUUGGAUUUGGUGCCAUAUCAUGCUUGUAUGUUCCAAGCAUCCUGAAAACCCAGGUAUUCCAGCUUUCUGCACAGAUGUAUCAAUCAGGUUGUUUUGCUUCAGGUAUGUUGUCAUCCUUUUUGCAACGAUGCUAAAAAAGACCUUCCCUUCCACGUUCAACAGGUUGAUUUGCCGGAAUUGAUCGAUGUUGGAGGCAUCCUUCUCCUUGGGGAUUACCACUCCUCCAGCUCUACGCCAUGCUUUUGGAAUGGUUUGCUUCGUCCACAUCACCUUCAUUUGCCUCCACAGGAAGCGUAAGAUGUUUGGGGAGUUUUUAUACAGCCGAUAUGGAACUCCAUUUGGUCCUGGAGCUGAAGCUGCCCUUGCCUUCCUCACUGCUUCCUCGACCUCGCUCCACUUUGGAGGACUGUCAUCCAGCUGGUGUUCUGGUAGAGGAAUUGGUGGCAUGUCUGAUGGUAUCUCCCUUUGUUCAAAUCUUUGGCUGUCUGUGUGAGUGGUUUUCAGGUGAUCUUCCAACUCCCUCUUUGGCACCUUAAGUGACCCGCUUUUUUCCUUAGUGAAGAGUCCUUUUACAAAUCUGAAGGGGUCCUUGUAGAAGGAUGUUCUCGCCCUUUCCUUCCUCUUGCGUCGAGUCCUGAGGUUUUCAGCUCUCCGCAAUCUUCCCAGGCGUCCCUUUAGGUCUGUUUGCAGGAGGUCAAUGCCCACUCUUUCCUCCAUUGAGGCUCUCUUCCAUUGUUUCCUCAAUUCCCUUCUCUCUUUAACCAGGCACUCGAUUUCUUUCUGCCUUCUGGACUUGGGAGGGGUUGUUGGUGGCAUAUUCUUCUUCCCUGUCUCUUUUGCUCCAAAUCUUUCUGCUCCAUAUGAGUAGAUCAGGUCUCCCAUUUUCUCCAGUUUCUUCUCCACUGUUCCUUUGACUCCGUCCAAGAUCUUGAUCAGGUCUGCAUCAAUUGUAGCCCACUCUUUCUUGCUGCUGGACUUUGGCCACUUCACAUGAGGUCUGUGGCCUUGCAUGUUCUUCUCCAAAGCAGGUUGCAAGUGGCUGGGUUCCAAGUUCUCUGAUGUUGUGCUUGAAUUAUUCUCAGCCUCUGGGGUACUGAUGCUCAGUGGACUGUGGGUUACAUCCUGCCGCUGAGCUUCACUCGCCUGACUUGACCUUUCUCUCAGAAGAUAUUGGUCAAUGCGAGGUCCUGGCCUCGUUUUCUUCACGCACUUCAUCCGGCCUUGGUGUAUUUUUAGGCCUCUGAUGGAGGUUACUUUGGACCAGCCACAGCUACAUACUUGGCGCUCUUGUCCUUCAGCCGAUGUUGUUGCUUGUUCUGUGCCGAUUACUUGGUUCGUUGUCGUGUUCAUUCCAGGGUCAGUUACCGGGUUGUCAGCCGAUGAGUCAUCUUCCGCCCCCGCUCUCGCAGACUCUAGGGGUGUUUUCCUCUUUAAACUUUUCAUAGCAAUGGGGGGUGGCCUUUGUCCACUUGCCAAGCGACGGAGCCUGCCAUCACGGAUAGCUAGUCCGUGACAGCCCCGUUGGGGUCUUUCCCUCCUGUCAGCUGUCUUUCCACGCCGUCACAUGGUCUUUCCCUAGUUGUCAGCUGCCCUUUCACAGCAGUCACUGGAUUUCUCCAGCUUAUCAGUUGAGCUCAUAGGACUAGUUAUUACAAUCCCUUAUAUCAGCACUUGGAAUUGAGUGGGGGGGGGGGGGGGGGGUAAAAGCUUCACUGGGGUCUUCAGGUGGGCACCCCCCUUCACUGGUGUUUCAUUGAUAGGCCCACGACACCUCCAGGGGGCUCAACGGCGACACCUGGCGUCCCAGGUGUGCCCCCCUCUGCUUUUACCCCUAGGUGGUCAUUUUGCAGCCCAGGUGGAGUCCUUUCUCUUGAUCCAGAGCCAUCUGCUGCUUCGUUCGGCAGCCUCUG
rnacentral:lncRNA from 1 species